CUCUUUCUUACCACCAUUAUAAGUGUUGAAAAACAAUAUGCCGAAUUGAAAAAGGAUAAGGCCUUAUCUAAUACACUAAGACAUAAGUAAAAUAAGAAAGUGAUCUAAUACACAUAGAAAUGUUUCUUAUACCAAAUCAUAAAACUCAUCAUCCUAAUGAAUGGAUAUAAAAAACCAGUCUAAUCAUGAUGGCAUGGUGACUCAUCCGUUCACUGACUAAGUGAAAUGAGCGUUUUCUAAUAUGAGACAUCUAAGAUUAUAAUCGUGAAUAAAAUCAUUAAAUUUUUUUAUUAAC
rnacentral:lncRNA from 1 species